rnacentral:rRNA from 1 species
UACGUAGGGUGCGAGCGUUGUCCGGAAUUAUUGGGCGUAAAGGGCUCGUAGGCGGUUUGUCGCGUCGGGAGUGAAAACGCCGUGCUUAACACGGCGCUUGCUUUCGAUACGGGCAGACUAGAGGUAUGCAGGGGAGAACGGAAUUCCUGGUGUAGCGGUGAAAUGCGUAGACAUCUGGAGGAACACCGGAGGCGAAAGCGGUCCACUGGGCAACUUCUGACGCUGAGGUGCGAAAGCUAGGGUAGCAAACGGG